GCCGUCGUCAUCGGGGAGUAGCCGGCCUCAUUUAGAGGCGGAUGCGUCAACAGACUUGGUCCUGCGGGACUAUGGCGUAUCCGGCGAUCAGCUUGGCGAGACCUUUGGCUUUCCAGUGUCUUCACCCGCGGGAUCGGGCGACGCCGGAAGCCAUUGGUUUGCGCUCGAUCCCGCCGAAGAUGCCC
rnacentral:sRNA from 2 species